UACGUAAGGUCCGAGCGUUGUCCGGAAUCAUUGGGCGGAAAGGGUACGCAGGCGGAUAAGCAAGUUAGAAGUGAAAUCCUAUAGCUCAACUAUAGUAAGCUUUUAAAACUUCUCAUCUUGAGGUAUGUAAGGGAAAGUGGAAUUCCUAGUGUAGCGGUGAAAUGCGUAGAUAUUAGGAGGAAUACCGGUGGCGAAGGCGACUUACUGGCCAUGUACUGACGCUGAGGUACGAAAGCUUGGGCAGCAAACAGG
rnacentral:rRNA from 1 species